CGAGGAGAUUGCUUCAAUCUAUAAAGUGAUUUUCUCAAGCGACAUACCUGACGUUCCUUAUCCUCUACCUUGUAGCCCUCCGGUUGAUGCAUAUAGAUUUCCUCAUCCAAGUCCCCGUGCAAGAAGGUGGUUUUGACAUCGAGUUGUUCCAGCUCAAGAUCAUGAUGAGCAACAAUACUCAAUAGCACUCGAAUGGAAGUAUGCUUGACCACCUGAGAAAAGAUCUCAUUGUAGUCAACUCCCUCUCUUUGUGCAAACCUCUUAGCCACUAACCUUGCUUUAAAUCUUGUACCACCAAGCUUGGUAAGAUCCUCUAUCUUUUUGUACAACAAUUUGCAACCAAUAGCUUUCUUACCUAUUGGCAAUGGGACAACCUCCCAUGUUUGGUUCUUGUGAAGUGAUUCUAUCUCUUCUUCCAUUGCUGCCAACCAACUCUCACUAUUGUUGUUUAAAAUAGCUUCCUUGAAAGUGGUAGGCUCAUCAUCCUCCACCAAGAGUGCAUACUCAACCAAAUUUGUCUGCCCAUAGUGCCUCAAAGGCUCGUUUGACCCCAACUUUAGAACUUGCUUGUAAGUACGGCGUGGCCUAGAGGAAGCCAAGUUAUCUGCAAGCUGUUGUUGUUGUUGUGCCUGUACAUUCUCUUGCUGAACCGCCUCUUGUUCAAGCCCAUCAUCACUCUCAUCUUGAGUGUCUGUAUGAUGUUCCUCUUGAGCAUGCCUAGAACCAGGUUGAUCUCUAGGUUCUAUGUCAACAACUUGAGACUUUGUAGUCUCAACAUCAUCACCACCGGGCACUGUAGCUUUCAACGAAGCUAUCAUGAAGUUCUCAUCAAAAGUAACAUCUCUGCUGAUUAUGAACUUAGAAUCCUCUACACUCCAUAGGCGAUAGCCUUUAACACCUGCCGCAUACCCCAAGAAUAUAACCUUCUUGGCCUUCGCAUCAAGCUUUCCCUCGUUGACGUGAUAGUAGGCUGUGCAUCCGAAUAUUCUGAGUUUCUCAUAAUCUGCAUGUUCUCCUAUCAAUACCCUGUAAGGUACAUCUCCAUCUAACCUUGAAUGUUGAGACCGGUUCACUAUGUAGCAAGCAUUUGCAACCGACUCUGCCCACCAUUCUCUGCCCAAACCAGCAUAGGAUCGCAUACACAUCGAUUUCUCUCGAAAUGCGCGAUUCAGUCUUUCCGCUACCCCAUUCUGUUGUGGUGUAUUUCUAACUGUCCAGUGUCUCGCAAUGCCUUCCUUACCACAGAACUCCUUAAAAGCACCAUCUAUAUACUCAGUACCGUUAUCAGAUCGCACUGUCUUCAAUUUCUUUCCUGUUCUGUUUUCAACCAUUGCUUUCCACUUCUUGAAAGUGUCGAAUACCUCAUUCUUAUGCUUCAAAAAAUAAAUCCAAACAUAUCUAGAAUAAUCAUCAACAAAUGUAACAAAAUACCUGGAACCACCUUUGGAAGUGACAGAAGCCGGACCCCAUACAUCCGUGUGCACAUAGUCUAGAAUGCCUCUGCUUCUAUGUUUGCUUGGCUGGAACUGAACUCGGUGUGCUUUACCGUACACGCAAUGCUCGGAAAAAUCCAUGCAAGGCUUCUUCAAGUUCUUUAGCAAACCUUUUUUGACUAGCAAAUCUAGCCCCUUUUCAGACAUAUGCCCAAGCCUCCUAUGCCAUAACCGAGUGCACUCACAUGGGUCUCCACCACUUCCACUUGUUCCAACUGCUACAUCUUCUGUAACUGUAGUACCCUGAAGAGCAUAGAGGUUGCCUUCACGAAUACCCUUCAUCACAAUCAAAGAAUCACGAAUAACCUUAUUUACUCCAUUCCAUGUUACAAUCUUGCAACCACCGGAGUCUAAGGCACCAACAGAGAUAAGGUUCUUCCACAAAUCAGGAACAUGUCUAACAUCCAUCAAUGUUCUAGCCACUCCAUCAUGCAUCUUGAUUCUAAUUGAACCGAGCCCCACCGUUUUACAGGAAUGGUUAUUACCCAUCAACACGGUUCCACCAUCAGUGCUUUUAUAGGUAGUAAACCACUUCCUAUUUGGACACAUAUGGUAAGAGCAUCCAGAGUCAAGAAUCCACUUACCGGAGGUUUCUUCAUCACGAGAGAUGGUGUAGCACUCAUCGCUUUCCCCUCCCUCCGAGGCAUAGCUUACCUCUUGUUUGACUUGCACCUUCCCGUUGUUGUUAUUCUUAUUGUUCUUCUUUGAACCCCUUUUGUUAAUACAAUUCGCCUUGAAAUGCCCGAGCUCGCCGCAUUUGAAACAAGACCUUUCUGCAAGAGGUCUAGAACUCGAUCUAGAUUUUUCUCCCUUGCCCUUUGGUCGCACAUUGCUUCUACCCCUUACAAAUAAUCCUUGAGCUUGCUCCUUGUUACCAAUGGUAGACAUGUCACUAGUUGCAAUCUUUCGAAGAUCAUCCGCUAGAAGUGACGUUCUAGUGUCCUCCGUCACAAGUUUAUCACCCACAAGCAUCAAUAUUUUUACUAGGUUCUCG
rnacentral:lncRNA from 1 species